rnacentral:rRNA from 1 species
AACGAACGCUGGCGGCGUGCUUAACACAUGCAAGUCGAACGCGAAAGGGGCUUCGGUCCUGAGUAGAGUGGCGCACGGGUGAGUAACGCGUAGAUAACCUGUCCUGGUGUCUGGAAUAAUAUCUCGAAAGGAGUGCUAAUACCGGAUAUUCUUGCUUCCUAUAAGGUAUUCCAGGAAAGGUGGCCUCGGGAACAAGCUACUGCACGCGGAGGGUGCUGCGUUCCAUUAGCUAGUAGGUGGGGUAAUGGCCUACCUAGGCGACGAUGGUUAGCGGGUCUGAGAGGAUGAUCCGCCACACUGGUACUGAAACACGGACCAGACUCCUACGGGAGGCAGCAGUGAGGAAUAUUGCGCAAUGGGGGCAACCCUGACGCAGCGACGCCGCGUGAGUGAGGAAGGCCUUCGGGUCGUAAAGCUCUGUCAAAGGGGAAGAAGUGCAUGGUGGUUAAUAUCUGUCAUGUUUGACGGUACCCUUAAAGGAAGCACCGGCUAACUCCGUGCCAGCAGCCGCAGUAA